rnacentral:rRNA from 1 species
AUUGAACGCUGGCGCCAUGCCUUACACAUGCAAGUCGAACGGCAGCACGGGUGCUUGCCCCUGGUGGCGAGUGGCGAACGGGUGAGUAAUACAUCGGAACAUGUCCUGUAGUGGGGGAUAGCCCGGCGAAAGCCGGAUUAAUACCGCAUACGAUCUACGGAUGAAAGCGGGGGACCUUCGGGCCUCGCGCUAUCGGGUGGGCCGAUGGCUGAUUAGCUAGUUGGUGGGGUAAAGGCCUACCAAGGCGACGAUCAGGAGCUGGUCUGAGAGGACGACCAGUCCCACUGGGACUGAGACACGGCCCAGACUCCUACGGGAGGCAGCAGUGGGGAAUUUUGGACAAUGGGCGAAAGCCUGAUCCAGCAAUGCCGCGUGUGUGAAGAAGGCCUUCGGGUUGUAAAGCACUUUUGUCCGGAAAGAAAUCCUUGGCCCUAAUACGGUCGGGGGAUGACGGUACCGGAAGAAUAAGCACCGGCUAACUACGUG